rnacentral:lncRNA from 1 species
GUGGCGGUCGUGCUUGUCUUCAGGUUAUAAACUUUACUUGCCUCGAUGACAUUCUAGUGGCUUGGAAAAACAUAAAUGGCAUCAAACCUAUUGAAGAGAUGUUUACACAACCGGCUUACGGACUUAGGCUUAAAAUAACCCAGCAACCGAAUCAGGAAGUAAACUUUUUAGACAUCGCAAUCGCCAUAAAAAAUAACAAACUGGUAACAGCAGUCUAUAGAAAACCGCAAUACGAAGCAAUCAUAAUCCCCAGCUGGUCCCCAGAUCUGAUGAAAUAUACAAAAUCGGGAGGAAACAUGGAUAUAAAUACGGGU